UACGUAGGUGACAAGCGUUGUCCGGAUUUACUGGGCGUAAAGAGCGCGCAGGCGGUCGAUCAAGUCGAGUGUGAAAGCCCCCGGCUCAACUGGGGAGGGUCAUUCGAUACUGAUCGACUCGAAGGCAGGAGAGGGUAGUGGAAUUCCCGGUGUAGUGGUGAAAUGCGUAGAUAUCGGGGAGGAACACCAGUGGCGAAGGCGACUACCUGGCCUGUUCUUGACGCUGAGGCGCGAAAGCUAGGGGAGCAAACGGGG
rnacentral:rRNA from 1 species